rnacentral:rRNA from 1 species
UACAGGGGGGGCAAGCGUUGUUCGGAAUUACUGGGCGUAAAGGGCUCGUAGGUGGCCAACUAAGUCAGACGUGAAAUCCCUCAGCUUAACUGGGGAACUGCGUCUGAUACUGGAUGGCUUGAGUUUGGGAGAGGGAUGCGGAAUUCCAGGUGUAGCGGUGAAAUGCGUAGAUAUCUGGAGGAACACCGGUGGCGAAGGCGGCAUCCUGGACCAACACUGACGCUGAGGAGCGAAAGUGUGGGGAGCGAACAGG